ACUGGACAUUCGCCGUGGAAUUCUUACUUGCUGUCAUUCCCGUUUGUUGUUACUCCAUCGUUCUUCCGUCGCAUAACCAGACUGAGUAGGAUUUACGCCUUCGUGUUUAAAGUUAUUUUCCUGUAAAAGUUCAUAUUUUGAAACAAGUUACGGUCGAAAAAUAGAAAGAUGCAAAUUAAACGCACUCGAAUACAUCGAAAUCGGAACAAUCACUACCAGGAGGAUACUGCUCAAUUUGGUGAAGCUUGUUCCAGAGUGGCCUGUAUUCCCUUCUCGGUUGAAAUGGUUGGUAGAAGAAGCUCAUACAACCCUCAACCCACCUUUCCGAUUGAAAUAAAACGCAUCCUUACAAGGCGAAUGCAGCAGAUAAUCUACAUCAACCAAAUGGCAUCGAAACGAUCGUUGGUGUGAUGCUAUGAGCGAAAUAUGGUACCUUGCAGCGUACCAAGAGCAACAACUUAAAUCCAAAGUGCCAAUAAUGUGAUUUAAGUAAUUCCUAUAACGUAUCAAUUUAUAGCAUAUUAUUAUGAUUGUCAAACACUCCAGGCUAGGUAAGAUUGAUCAUUAUGUGUACUUUUAUUACCAGCACACUGUGUAUUAACAAGAAAUUUUAAUUUGUGAAAUAAUAAAGUUUGUUUCAUGCAAUUUAA